AACUCUGUGAUGCCUAUACACACCUCAAACACGAAGUGUUUCAAUAUGUUUCUCAGAAAGCACGCCGGUCAGAUUGCACAAUUCUUCUGUGUACAACUGACUGAUGUAUAGCGAGAUCAGCCAGAAAGACUUCAGAUGGAAGGUUUUCAUCCUCACCGUCCCCUCUGCCCUCCUCAAGCGAGUGCCUGGUUAUUGACUGACUCCCCCAGAGCUCUGCAGUGGGGAAGAGACCUUGGAUGUGUGUAGGGGUGGUUUGGGGAAGUGGUUGUGGUAGGUGGGUUGGGGGUUGAUCUGUUCUUCUUCUCCAGAGUGCUGUGCACCUGUGUGAGGAGAAGCAAACCUGACAGCUACUUUGGAAAAAUAAAUAAAAAUCAGACUCUUGUGCCAUCAAGUUUGCUACCAUAUUCUGUGGGUUUUGUGGGAUGAAAGGCUCUCAUGUGGGAGAAAAGCCCUCUUCAAAUGUUCCAUCUGGGCAACUGCAGAAGCUGCUCUUGGAGGAGACAAGCCCAGGCUGCCAGUCAAGAAACCAAAGCAGCGCUUUAGUCCUUAAGGUUCUUAAGGGGAGAGAGCCAUUCACAUCUUCAUGCCUGUUGGUUGUGUGCUGUUUCAAAUGGGAAAUUUCACUGUAGGUCUAAAACUGAAAUAAAUCACACACUUAGACAAGUGGCUUGGGCUUUUCCAAAUUCUCUUUAUCUUUUAUAUAUCAAAAGAAAUGUAAAAAUAUUAAACACUGUUUAGCAUGAAAGGGCUAGCAUAAAAUUAUUCAAGUUACUUAUGAACCAUUUCCCCCACGUUGCAGUUUUUCCCCCCAGUGGAAAAAUACUGCAGAGAAUGUGGUUUCCUUUCAGAAAAUGAUAUAAAAUUACUAUUGGCCAAUAUAAUAUGUGACCUGUGCAUCUUCAAAUCCCCUUAUCUCCAUCCACAGUGCAGUCUGCUGGCUCUCUAGCUAACAAGAGUAAUGAGCCAUGGAAGGUGCAGGUAUGAAACAAGGCCAACCCAAAUGUUGGGUUCAUUCAAGUUAAUUCCUCCUUUAAGGUAAUACUUGAGUCCUGCUCAGCCCCAUCAGUGAGAAAAGAUUAUAAUUUCCUCCAAAAACCUCCUCUGUCAAAGUUAUCAGCCCUAAGGGCCAAAAGCUUACAUUAUAGAACUCUGUUCAAGCUAAAUUUGAGACUUAUAAUUGUUCUCUGAAGGUUUGCUUCUGCUCUCCCUGACUGUCUGAACGGAGCAGCUAUGAACAGUUUAACAGUAUAUGUGUCAUGAGGUUCAACCCCCUUAACUAAGUGGGUGAGAUCAUCUCAGACUGUUCAUGAUCUAACCUUCCCAGGGGGCAUUACCAGUCAAAGGAGUCUUUCCCUAAGGUAUGUACCAGGCACAAUGGUACUUUUCUUCUUAUGAGUUUAGAAAAAUCAAAGUUAAGGUGUCAUUUAGUUGUCCUAACAUCACCUCUUCUGCACAGGAUGUCAAAGGACAGCCCGAGUCUCCUCUUCCCGUGUGUGGCCAUGUCCAGCGCAUGCUAUUGCAGCAGGCUGCUGCUAUCUCCCUAAAGGAAAACAAGAGUGGGUGUCUCCUUGACCAGAGACACCCAAAGGAUGCCCUACAGAUUUUGAGGACCUGCUAUACUUAUAAAAAACAAACCCACACAUUUUAGAUUUCUAUUUCUGAUUUUGAAUAAGUAAAAUAUCUACACAGUAGGAAAGUAGAUGUAUAUUUUUAUCUCAAAAGAAAAGGAUAAAGGACACCUUUAAAGAAUUUGAAAUCAACCAGAAUUGAGUGGGAAGGUGAGAAGACACCUAGACAUCCAUUAAGAGACUAGAACAAUCUAGAUCUGUUAUCAAACAUGACCUCUUGCUAUCCUUACUUACAUAGAGCCAUGGAGGAUGAAGAAGAGAAAAAGUACCUGCUUAGAGUUUCUGUCUGAAUUUUCCUUUCUAGCCAAUAAGAGCACUGUCACUGCUAAUCUAAGAGUCAUCUCUACUGCCUUACUCAUUGCAUCUUCCUCCACUUACGGAAGACAGCAGCAUAGUUCUGACACCCAAAAUGAUUUCAGCUGUGCCCACUUCAAACUCACAGGCACUUGCCAGUUCUAGUCUUUAAAGCCAUGUUAUACACACCAAACACCAUAUUUUUUUCUAUUCCACUGGUAGUAUCUACAAAAUGAAUCCUAACUCUCCUAAAGGGGAGAGUGUUGUAUAAGUGUUUUCAAGUUAGGGGUAUCAAUGACUCCUCUUCUUUGGUCACUACCUUGGUAUGGCAACUUAAAGAAGACUAAGACUUCCAGUCUCUGCUCCUCUAAGUAACUGUGGAGAAACCUAUCUCACUAUGUGCUUUAAGGAAAGUACAGACAGAGCUUGAGGCUGGAGAACGGUCUUACAAAGUGAACUGCAACUGUUGCAUAAAAGUAGAGGAACGGAAGAGUUAAGGGGACAGUGAAUGCUUUUGGAAUUCAGAGAAUCUUUCCCUCAGCAUUGUGCAAAAAGACCUCUCACUAUAGAAGGCAUUCAGUUGGGGGGUGGAGGGGGGUAAGGGGGAUAAGAGCCUGCUUGCCAGUUGUUACCGAAUUCUAAGGAUGUAAUUUAACAAUUGUUUUAAGAUUUUCCAGUUAACUGCCGUUUAUAUCCCCCAGUUCUAAAGCAAAGCUUUACCGAUCCCUUCCAUUUUUGGAGCAAUGAGGAGGACUAAAGGGUGAGAAAGAGAGUUAACCACAUUUCAGAACCAAGAGAGAAAGCUCUGGUCAGCGACUCCAGCAGUGUGGCUUCAGUAUGUGCUGUCUGGGGCUCUGUACAGUCUUUCCUUAAAGAGCUGAAAGGACUCGCUGGAAUCUGGAAUGUCUACAAUCUGGAAGCUCUGUGUACUCCAAUCCAGGAAGCCAUUGACACUGCAUCAGACCAAAUGAAGUCAAUAAAACAACCCCCCCCCCCCAAAAAAAAAAAAAACUAAUCAGUGUCACCGCCUAAGAUAAGAACAAGUCAAAGUACUAAUGUCUGGGUUGGCAUGAGCAACAUAGAAGCUAGUAAUGGUGCUUAUGCAAAGGGAUGGGAUACACUUUUCAUGACUUUCAAUGUUCAAUAUUUGUUUAAUCACUUCUAUUGUUCUUCCUG
rnacentral:lncRNA from 1 species